CAGAGAGUAGUUUAAGGAGAAUUUCAGCUUUGGGUGCUGAUGGUGGGACUUUAAGUCUCCUCUUUGA
rnacentral:tRNA from 1 species